rnacentral:rRNA from 1 species
UACGUAGGAGACGAGCGUUGUCCGGAGUUACUGGGCGUAAAGGGUGCGCAGGUGGCGGCGCGCGUGGGGGGUGAAAUCGCCCGGCUUAACUGGGCGGGGGCCUUCCAGACGGCGUGGCUUGAGCAGCGGAGGGGGACGUGGAAUUCCGGGUGGAGCGGUGAAAUGCGUAGAGAUGUGGAGGAACACCAGUGGCGAAGGCGACUCUUUGGCCUGUAACUGACGCUGAGGCGCGAAAGCGUGGGGAGCAAACAGG